GUUUCCUUUGACUGUGGCCACAGUCCAGACUCUUUUUGGAUAUCUGGUACUGGCUAGACUCCCAGGAUUGGAUCCCAGCCCAGGUCUAUCUUGUUGGUCGGUGGAAUACUCCUCUGAGAGAUUUUAUUUGGAAGUAGGAAAACUUCAGUGAGUAUCACAGCAGUUAGAUUUUCAAGUAUGGUCAGCAGAGUAUGCAGUUAGAAAACUGUACUUCUCAAAAUUUUUCCUAGAGUGAGAAAGUGACUGCCAGAAGUUCCACUGUCUAGAAUUUGCAGUUGGAGUUGAAAUGAGGAAUACACAGAACCAUCACAGAAAACAGAAACACAGUUGACCCUUGAAGAACACACAUUUUGAACUAUGGCCCAGUUACAAGUGGAUUUUUUCAGGAAAAUUACACCGUGUCUGUCUGCCUCUCCUGCCUCCUCUUCCACCUCCUCCACCUCUUCUGCCUCUGCCAACCCUGUGACAGCAAGAACAACCCCUCCACUUUUUCCUCCUCUUCAGCCCAUUCAAUGUGAAGAAAAGGAUGAAGAUCUUUACAAUGAUCAACUUCUAUUUAAUGAAAGGGUUCAUCUUCUGGCACUCUCUGUUGUCUGACGUCUGGAAGCAUUUGUUUCAUGUAUUUGUUGAUUUUCAAGUUCUUUCCAGUAGAAGUAAAAAGGUAAUUUUCACAUUAAUUAAAUUACCCCAUUAUGUAUGGAAAGCAGAAAUUCUCUUAUAAAAACAUAUUCAGUCAAUAAUGUUAUUUUGCUUAAACCUACAAAUGUAUACUAUUUUUAGGCAGCAAUAUUUUGAAAAUAACUACUUUGUAGUUCCAACAGUAUUAAUCAAUAAAUCAAGCAAGAAAGAAGCAUUUCAAAAAUAUUAGGUACUAAUUGAUUUAAUACCAUAUUUCACGAUCAAGAGUGUCCCCAUUUAAGUGAUAUAUUAUAUGGUUAUCCUAUUUUUAAGUCUGUUAAAAGUUGUUUCAAAUCUCCACUGUUGCAUACUUGCAUGUGAAAAUUACCAAUGUGGAUUGUGUUAAACUGACAACUCAAAUGUCACAAAGUCUCUGUCAUAUGUGUUUUAUGGAUUGCUUCAAUGGUUAAUAACUUUAGAUAAUGUCAUAGAAGUGAAAUACAGUAUCUUUUUGAUUAUAUGGUCAUAGGAAAAUAAAGAGUACAUAAAAACUUUAAAAUACUGGAUUUUUAUAUUUUAAAAACUCAGAUUCUAGGCUCUGUUUUUAUAAAUGGUUUUGUUGUUUCUGUUUUGUUCUGUUCUGUUUGAUUUACCUGAUAAUCUAGAUGGAUGUUCAAGAAUGGUAGGAUACUGGGCAAUUUUUACUUGGUGGUAUUCUUCUUUAUAAAAGAGAAACCUUAAACAGUUGUGGUUCCACCUAGUAAGUGUAUAAAAUUUCCCAAAUAUUAGGGAAAAAACAUAAAACAGCCUUUGAAAGUAAUACGAUUCCCUUUGAAAACUACCCAUAAUAUUGUGUGGGUUUUGUCUUACCCUCAGUGAGAUGGAGACUUACUAAGGGUAGUAAUGUAAGGAAGUGAAAAUGUGACAUAAGCAUGUUAGUAUUUUACUGGCUGUGUGUUGGAUUAGAAAUGAAGGUUUGUCAGAAUAAUGGUGGCAGGGAGAGAAGCAGACCAAUUAGGGCAUUAUUUCAGAAAUUUAAAUAUGAAGUUAUGAAUAUAGAUGUAACAUGUUUAAAUAUAUCAGCAGGGAGCAGAAGGAAAAACAACAGAGAAAUAAGCAUGUUUUCUAGGCUAAGAUUCCAAACUGCCCAAGGAGAAAAGUGAUGGUAAUAGAUAGAAGAAAUUGGAAAAAUAAGAGAAGAAAGGCAAGAAGGAAAAAACAGACUGAAUUUUUACUAGAUAUUAGAGGAAACUACCUACAUUCAUUUAAAAAACAGGACGACAAAUGCCAUAUUUUUGAAAUAGAAAAGAAAUAAUCUUCAGGAAUUAUAGUACAUUCUAAGAAAGCAAUGUUGUAGAAGGAUUUAGAUAAAUGUAGAAAAGUAAUUUGUAAAUUUAAAUAGUGGUAACAGUUGGAAUGUGGUUAAAAAGGACUAUUGCUGUUUUUGUGAUUAUUAAUAGCUGAUGUGCUUCCUACUUUCUUGUCAGUGAUACUGAGAAAAGUAGAUGGAAUAAUUCAAAAUUAAUUAACAGACUUCUCAGUUCCAAACCAAAUGUUCAUGUUUUUAGAAAUAAAGGUAUUGUAAAAAC